rnacentral:rRNA from 1 species
CCGGGAAGCUCACCGGAUAAGACAGCGGAAUGAUAGCCGGGCUGAAGACUCUGCUUGACUAGCUGAGAGGAGGUGCAUGGCCGUCGUCAGUUCGUACUGUGAAGCAUCCUGUUAAGUCAGGCAACGAGCGAGACCCACGCCAACAGUUGCCAGCAUGUCCUCCGGGAUGAUGGGGACACUGUUGGGACCGCUCUGCUAAAGAGGAGGAAGGGAAUGGGCAACGGUAGGUCAGCAUGCCCCGAAUUAUCCGGGCUACACGCGGGCUACAAUGGUCAGGACAAUGGGUAUCGACACCGAGAGGUGGAGGCAAUACUCCUAAACCUGUCCUUAGUUCGGAUUGUGGGCUGCAACUCGCCCACAUGAAGCUGGAAUCCGUAGUAAUCGCGUUUCAAAAUAGCGCGGUGAAUAUGUCCCUGCUCCUU